UCAUUAGCACGAUUACCGCCAUUAUGAUGACCAUUAUUAUGAUUAAUGGUGCGGGUUAGUGCAGCAAAAACAAGAUACAGAAAACCCGCGAUUCAACUGAAUAGCGGGUUUUUUUAUA
rfam:Haemophilus influenzae Rd KW20, complete genome.